GAUGAACGCUAGCGGCAGGCCUAAUACAUGCAAGUCGAACGGAACUCAUUGGAUCAAGACUUCGGUCAAGUGAAUUUGAGUUUAGUGGCGGACGGGUGAGUAACGCGUGAGGAACCUGCCUUUCAGAGGGGGACAACAGUUGGAAACGACCGCUAAUACCGCAUAACGUGCCGGAAUCGCAUGAUUCUGGUACCAAAGGAUUUAUUCGCUGAAGGAUGAGCUCGCGUCCGAUUAGCUAGUUGGUGGGGUAACGGCCUACCAAGGCGACGAUCGGUAGCCGAACUGAGAGGUUGAUCGGCCGCAUUGGGACUGAGACACGGCCCAGACUCCUACGGGAGGCAGCAGUGGGGGAUAUUGCACAAUGGGGGAAACCCUGAUGCAGCAAUGCCGCGUGAGGGAAGAAGGCCUUCGGGUUGUAAACCUAAGUUGUCAGGGACGAAUUAUGACGGUACCUGAAGAGAAAGCUCCGGCUAACUACGUG
rnacentral:rRNA from 1 species